rnacentral:rRNA from 1 species
AGGACGAACGCUGGCGGCGUGCCUAACACAUGCAAGUCGAACGCGCUCCAUUCGGUAGCAAUACUGAUGAAGAGCGAGUGGCGAACGGGUGAGUAGCACGUGAGCAACCUGCCCCGAAGACCGGGACAACACCGGGAAACCGGUGCUAAUACCGGAUAUCCCUAUCGGACCGCAUGAUCUGAUAAGGAAAUGGAUUCCGCUUCGGGAGGGGCUCGCGGCCUAUCAGCUAGUUGGUGAGGUAACGGCCCACCAAGGCAUCGACGGGUAGCUGGUCUGAGAGGACGAUCAGCCACACUGGGACUGAGACACGGCCCAGACUCCUACGGGAGGCAGCAGUGGGGAAUCUUGCGCAAUGGGCGAAAGCCUGACGCAGCAACGCCGCGUGGAGGACGAAGGCUUUCUGAGUUGUAAACUCCUUUCAGCAGGGACGAUAGGUGACGGUACCUGCAGAAGAAGCACCGGCCAACUACGUGCCAGCAGCCGCGGUAA